GAUGUGCAGGGCAGUAGACAAUGGUGCGGGCGAAGUGGCUAAACUUGAACAAGCGGUCGAAACAUUCUGUCAGAGUCAAACCCCAUUCCUUCAAGGCCAAUGUGUAAGUGAGCCGCACUUCGUCCGAGCACAGGAAGGACUGAAUCACUCCCCCACAGGGGCUGCCAAGUAGGGUCACCACCAGCCACAAGGAGACAAAAAGAGGCAAAACAGUGCAACGAGCCAUAGACACUGAAGGCGUUUAUUACAUACAAGUUGAUAUGCUUCUGCUUUCAGAUAUAUAUAUAUU